rnacentral:rRNA from 1 species
UACGUAGGGCGCAAGCGUUGUCCGGAAUUAUUGGGCGUAAAGAGCUCGUAGGCGGUCUGUUACGUCCGCUGUGAAAACCCAGGGCUUAACCCUGGGCUUGCAGUGGAUACGGGCAGACUAGAGGCAGGUAGGGGAGAAUGGAAUUCCCGGUGUAGCGGUGAAAUGCGCAGAUAUCGGGAGGAACACCGGUGGCGAAGGCGGUUCUCUGGGCCUGAUCUGACGCUGAGGAGCGAAAGUGUGGGGAGCGAACGGG